rnacentral:guide_RNA from 1 species
AUGUAAUCAAUAAACAACAGAAUAGUGAUGGUAAAUAAGAAAUGAAAGU